CAGUAGCCACGGUAAUACGAAGGUCCCGAGCGUUGUUCGGAAUCACUGGGCGUAAAGGGAGCGUAGGCGGCGUGGUAAGUCAGAUGUGAAAUCCCGGGGCUCAACCCCGGAACUGCAUCCGAUACUGCCAUGCUAGAGGAUUGGAGAGGUAGCUGGAAUUCUUGGUGUAGCAGUGAAAUGCGUGGAGAUCAAGAGGAACACUCGUGGCGAAAGCGAGCUACUGGACAAUAACUGACGCUGAGGCUCGAAGGCCAGGGUAGCGAAAGGGAUUAGAUACCCCGGUAGUCCCUGUCUCUUAUAC
rnacentral:rRNA from 1 species